UUGUGCAGCUGAGAGGAAAAAAAAAAAGGAGAGAGGGGAGGGGGCGAUUUCCGGCAGCAAGGCCAGCCACCGUCCGAUCAUCUGACCGCUGUGCGCCACCGUGUCGGCCACCGUGAGUUUCAAAAAAAAGGGGCGCAACUUGGACGACGGUGGGGCGGUGCUGCAGCAGGCAGGAGGUGGCAGACGAACAGAAGGCCCUAGGUGCGGCGCACCUAGGGUUUGAAAUUUUUGUUUGGUGCAUUUAGGGUUUUAGGCUUAGUUGGUCCUGAGUUAUUUGGGUUGGUUUGUAAUUAGGUUUUGGGGUUAGGUUUAUUUAAGUUUGGGGUUAGGAAAUGGGUUUUGAUUUGUUUGGGUUUCUAUUUAAGUAUUGGGCCCGAUAAUUUGGGCAUUUACAAUAACAACUUUUGGUUAAUAA